AGAGUUUGAUCAUGGCUCAGAUUGAACGCUGGCGGCAGGCCUAACACAUGCAAGUCGAACGGUAACAGGAAGCAGCUUGCUGCUUUGCUGACGAGUGGCGGACGGGUGAGUAAUGUCUGGGAAACUGCCCGAUGGAGGGGGAUAACUACUGGAAACGGUAGCUAAUACCGCAUAACGUCGCAAGACCAAAGAGGGGGACCUUAGGGCCUCUUGCCAUCGGAUGUGCCCAGAUGGGAUUAGCUAGUAGGUGGGGUAAUGGCUCACCUAGGCGACGAUCCCUAGCUGGUCUGAGAGGAUGACCAGCCACACUGGAACUGAGACACGGUCCAGACUCCUACGGGAGGCAGCAGUGGGGAAUAUUGCACAAUGGGCGCAAGCCUGAUGCAGCCAUGCCGCGUGUAUGAAGAAGGCCUUCGGGUUGUAAAGUACUUUCAGCGGGGAGGAAGGGAGUAAAGUUAAUACCUUUGCUCAUUGACGUUACCCGCAGAAGAAGCACCGGCUAACUCCGUGCCAGCAGCCGCGGUAAUACGGAGGGUGCAAGCGUUAAUCGGAAUUACUGGGCGUAAAGCGCACGCAGGCGGUUUGUUAAGUCAGAUGUGAAAUCCCCGGGCUCAACCUGGGAACUGCAUCUGAUACUGGCAAGCUUGAGUCUCGUAGAGGGGGGUAGAAUUCCAGGUGUAGCGGUGAAAUGCGUAGAGAUCUGGAGGAAUACCGGUGGCGAAGGCGGCCCCCUGGACGAAGACUGACGCUCAGGUGCGAAAGCGUGGGGAGCAAACAGGAUUAGAUACCCUGGUAGUCCACGCCGUAAACGAUGUCGACUUGGAGGUUGUGCCCUUGAGGCGUGGCUUCCGGAGCUAACGUGUUAAGUCGACCGCCUGGGGAGUACGGCCGCAAGGUUAAAACUCAAAUGAAUUGACGGGGGCCCGCACAAGCGGUGGAGCAUGUGGUUUAAUUCGAUGCAACGCGAAGAACCUUACCUGGUCUUGACAUCCACAGAACUUUCCAGAGAUGGAUUGGUGCCUUCGGGAACUGUGAGACAGGUGCUGCAUGGCUGUCGUCAGCUCGUGUUGUGAAAUGUUGGGUUAAGUCCCGCAACGAGCGCAACCCUUAUCCUUUGUUGCCAGCGGUCCGGCCGGGAACUCAAAGGAGACUGCCAGUGAUAAACUGGAGGAAGGUGGGGAUGACGUCAAGUCAUCAUGGCCCUUACGACCAGGGCUACACACGUGCUACAAUGGCGCAUACAAAGAGAAGCGACCUCGCGAGAGCAAGCGGACCUCAUAAAGUGCGUCGUAGUCCGGAUUGGAGUCUGCAACUCGACUCCAUGAAGUCGGAAUCGCUAGUAAUCGUGGAUCAGAAUGCCACGGUGAAUACGUUCCCGGGCCUUGUACACACCGCCCGUCACACCAUGGGAGUGGGUUGCAAAAGAAGUAGGUAGCUUAACCUUCGGGAGGGCGCUUACCACUUUGUGAUUCAUGACUGGGGUGAAGUCGUAACAAGG
rnacentral:rRNA from 1 species